rnacentral:rRNA from 1 species
ACAUGCAAGUCGAACGGCAGCGCGGGGCAACCUGGCGGCGAGUGGCGAACGGGUGAGUAAUAUAUCGGAACGUACCCAAGAGUGGGGGAUAACGUAGCGAAAGUUACGCUAAUACCGCAUACGAUCUAAGGAUGAAAGCAGGGGAUCUUCGGACCUUGUGCUCCUGGAGCGGCCGAUAUCUGAUUAGCUAGUUGGUGAGGUAAAGGCUCACCAAGGCCACGAUCAGUAGCUGGUCUGAGAGGACGACCAGCCACACUGGAACUGAGACACGGUCCAGACUCCUACGGGAGGCAGCAGUGGGGAAUUUUGGACAAUGGGCGAAAGCCUGAUCCAGCAAUGCCGCGUGAGUGAAGAAGGCCUUCGGGUUGUAAAGCUCUUUUGUCAGGGAAGAAACGGUGAGGGCUAAUAUCCUUCGCUAAUGACGGUACCUGAAGAAUAAGCACCGGCUAACUACGUGCCAGCAGCCGCGGUAAUACGUAGGGUGCAAGCGUUAAUCGGAAUUACUGGGCGUAAAGCGUGCGCAGGCGGUUUUGUAAGUCUGACGUGAAAUCCCCGGGCUCAACCUGGGAAUUGCGUUGGAGACUGCAAGGCUAGAAUCUGGCAGAGGGGGGUAGAAUUCCACGUGUAGCAGUGAAAUGCGUAGAGAUGUGGAGGAACACCGAUGGCGAAGGCAGCCCCCUGGGUCAAGAUUGACGCUCAUGCACGAAAGCGUGGGGAGCAAACAGGAUUAGAUACCCUGGUAGUCCACGCCCUAAACGAUGUCUACUAGUUGUCGGGUUUUAAUUAACUUGGUAACGCAGCUAACGCGUGAAGUAGACCGCCUGGGGAGUACGGUCGCAAGAUUAAAACUCAAAGGAAUUGACGGGGACCCGCACAAGCGGUGGAUGGUGUGGAUUAAUUCGAUGCAACGCGAAAA